AGGUGAAACCGCGAAUGGCUCAUUAAAUCAGUUAUGAUUCACUAGACUGUACACAAUUACUUGGAUAACUGUGGUAAUUCUAGAGCUAAUACAUGCAGCAGAGCUCCGACCUUAGGGGACGAGCGCUUUUAUUAGAAAAGACCAAUCGGACUCGGUUCGUGUUUAUGGUGACUCUGGAUAACUUUGGGCUGAUCGCACGGGCUCGUCCCGGCGACGCAUCUUUCAAGUGUCUGCCUUAUCAACUGUCGACGGUUGGUCAAAUGUCCACCGUGGUGGUUACGGGUGACGGGGAAUCAGGGUUCGAUUCCGGAGAUGAAGCAUUAAAUUUGGCUUCAGUUACUAAGGUGAACAGCAGGCGCGCAAAUUGCCCAAUCAUUGAUUAUGGAGGCAGUGACGAAAAAUAACAAUACGGGACUCUUUUGAGACCCCGUAAUUGGAAUGAGUACACACUAAAUCCUUUAACGAGGAUCAAUUGGAGAGCAAGCCUAGUGCCAGCAGUCGCGGUAACACUAGUUCCAAUAGCGUAUAUUAGAAUUGUUGCGGUUAAAAAGCUCGUAGUUGGAUCUCAGUUCCAGACGUGGCCGCCGCCUAACGGUGGUUAUCGCCCGUUCUGAACAGCCAGUCGGUUUCCCGCCAUGAUCUUCACCGGUUGUCGUGGGUGACCGGCACGUUUACUUUGAAAAAAUUAGAGUGCUCAAAGCAGGCGUGACGCCUGAAUAGUUGUGCAUGGAAUAAUGGAAUAGGACCUCGGUUCUAUUGUGUUGGUUUUCUGAACUCGAGGUAAUGAUUAAGAGGGACAGACGGGGCCAUCUGUACUUAACAGCUAGAGGUGAAAUUCUUUGACCUGUUAAAGACAAACAAAAGCGAAAGCAUUUGGCAAGAAUGUUUCCGUUAAUCAAGAACGAAAGUUGAGGGUCCGAAGGCGAUCAGAUACCGCCCUAGUCUUAACUAUAAACGAUGUCGACCAGCGAUCCGCCUGAGUUCCUCAAAUGACUCGGCGGGCAGCUUCCGGGAAACCACCAGU
rnacentral:rRNA from 1 species